CAGAGCACCCCACUCUCCAGCCAGAUUUGCUCUAACUCAAGAAGCAAUACGAGCAGAGCAACAGAACCGCAACCUGGGCAGACUUUCCAAACAAGUCAUAAGGCACAAAAGAAUGUGAAGAGAAGGAAAAAUUCUUCAGGAUGAGGCAUUGUGCGCCAAAAAGGAAGGCUGAUACCCAGAUGGUGGAAGAAAGAUAAUGAAUUCAAAGAAGGAAGGAGGAAAGUAAUUGCACUUUAUAUUUAAAAUUAUCCCCCUUCUACAUAUUUGUAGUUCAGGACAGAAGGCUACACUUCUCUGGCUUUGCCACCCCUGGGCCGUUUCUUUCCUGAGAGCAGUAGUAGCCCAGCUUGAACCAGAAAGGCAACAGAGAGUACACAUUACAGGGAGCAGAACCACCUAGGCUUCACAGGGGACAUGGGUUCGAGCCCUGGUCCGGGAAGAUCCCACAUGCCGCGGAGCAACUAAGAUCGUGCGCCACAACUACUGAGCCUGCGCUCUAGAGCCCGCGAGCCACAACUACUGAAGCCCGCGCGCCUAGAGCCCGUGCUCCGCAACAAGAGAAGCCACCGCAAUAAGACCACGCGCCACAAUGAAGAGUAGCCCCCGCUCGCUGCAACUAGAGAAAGCCCGCGCGCAGCAAUGAAGACCA